rnacentral:snRNA from 1 species
GGAUGUGAGGGUGGUCUGGUUGCAACAUCCGUCACCCCAUUGAUCGCCAGGGUUGAUUCAGCUAAUCUGGCUGGCUAGGUGGGUGUCCCCUUCCUCCCUCACUGAUCUAUGUGUGUCCUUCCAAAGCUGUGCGCUCAGUUGAAGACGACCAUCCCCGACAGACAAGGACCAGUCUUCGGUCAAGGACAUAUGAGUAGCUGCACUCCCCUGCUAGACCCUCCUAACGAGCUCUCAAGACUGCUGUCUGCCAAUCUGUAUCCAGAGUUGGAAAAAAGCAAGGAAAAAAAAAAGACUUGUCCCAGAGUGUUCCUUACCAAGUUAUAAAUUAGUUUUCAUUUGGAAAGGGAACAUUCUG